AUACAGAAGCCUCCUUCCGCCCAGGACUCUUCCGUUGCUUUUCCAGGAAGUCGGCAAGAGAGAGGGGGAGUUGAGGACGAGAGCAGCAUGAUGGACACACACGGAAGGAGGUUUUGAUUGGCCAGAGAGACUGGGAAACAGUUGACCUUUUUGAAGCCAUGAACUGCAAUAAAGUGCAAUACAAGCAGUAGUCAGAGACAUGUCACGUCAACCUGCUGAUCAAAAGCUGUUGAAAGCUGCCAUAAAGAAUAAGAUAAGGAAGGGAAGGGAGGCCCAGAAAAGCUCAUAACCUGUCCAAGGCCUGGAGCCUAGAUAUGAAUGAUAGUAUUCUGACUCCUGAAUCCACAUUCUCCCAACCACAGCUCUCUUCUGCCUCUUGUGAAAUUUCCAGAAGAGGACCCAUUCAAAGGAAAACAAAGAAUAAACCCAGGGAAGUGAUUUUAUCAGGUAAAACUGCAAAAUGCAGUGUUUUUUUCUUUUCCUAACACUCUAAAGAUGUAUAGAACAAUGAUGGUUCAAAAUAAUUUCUUUAUCCAUCAUUGAGAUGCAUGUCUGCACAAAAUU